rnacentral:rRNA from 1 species
ACGGACCGCACGAACGUUAUUCGGUAUCACUGGGCUUAAAGGGUGCGUAGGCGGCUUUGCAAGUUGGGUGUGAAAGCCCUCGGCUCAACCGAGGAAUUGCGCUCAAUACUGCCGAGCUCGAGAGAGACAGAGGUAAGCGGAACUAAUGGUGGAGCGGUGAAAUGCGUUGAUAUCAUUAGGAACACCGGUGGCGAAGGCGGCUUACUGGGUCUUUUCUGACGCUGAGGCACGAAAGCCAGGGGAGCGAACGGGAUUAGAUACCCCGGUAGUCCUGGCCGUAAACGAUGAGCACUGGAUCGAAGUUCCCCUCACAGGAUUUCGGUCGUAGCGAAAGUGUUAAGUGCUCCGCCUGGGGAGUAUGGUCGCAAGGCUG